CUUUGCUGUGACUGGAGAUAAUCAUAAUUUAGUGCAGUGGUAAGCAGUAAGAGGAGAAAAGGUUUACUGGUGACACGUGAGGAGUUUCAGGAUGCAUCCAUUGCUUCUCCACAGCAUACAUUGGGAUUUGAAAGACAUACCCAAAAAGCUCUGCUCAAACUGCGCUUUCUCCUACCCAAUUCAAAAUCACUUCAGCAAGAGUUGUAGUGGGACCAGUAGAGAGCGACUCUUCAUGCAAACAACUUCCAAUUUAUACUCAGGGGAACCACAUGAGGGAGCGCUUUUACCUUCCAAAAAUGACAUUCUCCCCAGGGGAAUCCCUGCGAGUCUUCUUGCUUCACACCUCUCCACUGGGACUCCAAAGUGACUUGCCUUUCUUUGUUAACAUGGGUGAGUAAAGCUCAGUAGCCCCUCAAGCUCACUGGUCACUCUUCUUUCUCCAGCAGAAGACAAGGGUUGACACUUUGGAUUCAUUGUUUAUUGUCCUGGCACCAGAGUUGAUACCUUAGCACUGACAUGACGUGCUGUUACUUUCACUAACCGUUUGGGUUGACUAUCCAUUCUGGAUUUCAGCAGGGUACAUGAAAGGAGAUGGCACAUCUUAUUUAGCUACCCAGCUUCACAGGAGUCUC
rnacentral:lncRNA from 1 species